rnacentral:rRNA from 1 species
GAUGUUGGCUUAGAAGCAGCCAUACAUUUAAAGAGUGCGUAAUAGCUCACUGGUCAAGUGGUAGAGCGCCGAAAAUGAACGGGGCUAAAAUCUAAUACCGAAGCUGUGGACUAAUUAAAUUAGUGGUAGAGGAGCAUUGUGUAAGGGAUGAAGCUAAGCUGGAAGGCGAAGUGGACUUUACAGAAGAGAGAAUGCUGGCAUGAGUAGCGAAAAGGAGGGUGAGAAUCCCUCCCGUCGAAAGCCUAAGGAUUCCUGAGGAAGGCUCGUCCUCUCAGGGUAAGUCGGGACCUAAGCCCAGGCUGAAAAGCGUAAGCGAUGGACAACAGGUUGAGAUUCCUGUACUAUCUUUGAAUGUUUGAGAGAAGUACUGACGCAGGAGGAUAUGUUGAGCGUGUGAAUGGUAGAGCACGUCUAAGCAAGUAGGUAGAGAAUAGAGGCAAAUCCCUAUUUUUAAUAUCGAGAUGUGAUGGGGAGCGAAAAACAAGUAGUGAAGCAACAAAUUCCAAACUGCCAAGAAAAGGUACUAUUGAGUGAGAAGAUACCCGUACCAAAACCGACACAGGUAGGCAAGGAGAGAAUCCUAAGACGCGCGGAAGAACCUUUGUUAAGGAACUCGGCAAAAUGACCCCGUAACUUCGGGAGAAGGGGUACCAUUAGAUGUGAAGAGCAUACGCUCGGAGCAUAGAGUGGUCGCAGAGAAUAGGCCCAAGCAACUGUUUACCAAAAACACAAGUCUCUGCUAAAUCGAAAGAUGAAGUAUAGGGGCUGACACCUGCCCGGUGCUGGAAGGUUAAGGGGAAAUGUUAGAGCAAUCGAAGCAUAGAACUUAAGCCCCAGUAAACGGCGGCCGUAACUAUAACGGUCCUAAGGUAGCGAAAUUCCUUGUCGGGUAAGUUCCGACCCGCACGAAAGGUGUAAUGAUUUGGGCACUGUCUCAACAAAGGAUCCGGUGAAAUUGUAGUAGUCGUGAAGAUGCGACUUACCCACGAUAGGACGGAAAGACCCCGUGGAGCUUUACUGUAGGCUGGCAUUGGAAUUUGGUAUUAAAUGUACAGGAUAGGUGGGAGACUGAGAAACGAGAGCGCCAGUUUUCGUGGAGUCAAUGUUGGGAUACCACUCUUUUGAUACUAAAUUUCUAACUUGAUACUCUGAAGCGAGUAUAAGGACACUGUCAGUUGGGCAGUUUGACUGGGGCGGUCGCCUCCUAAAGAGUAACGGAGGCGUUCAAAGGUUCCCUCAGAAUGGAAGGAAAUCAUUCAAAGAGUGCAAAGGCAAAAGGGAGCUUAACUGCGACACCAACAAGUGGAGCAGAUAGGAAACUAGGACUUAGUGAUCCGGUGGUACCGAGUGGAAGGGCCAUCGCUCAACGGAUAAAAGCUACCCCGGGGAUAACAGGCUUAUCUCCCCCAAGAGUUCACAUCGACGGGGAGGUUUGGCAC